GAUUCCUCCUAAGCCAUGUCCCAUCUGUGUGGGACCCCACUGGAAAUUGGACUGUCCAAUUGGCCCAAGGCUCUGACUGACUCUUUCCCAUAUCUUCUCGGCUUAGCAGCUGAAGACUGAUGCUGCUCUGAUCACCUCGGAAGCCUCCUGGACCAUCAUAGACACUUUGAGUAACUCUUACAGUGGAGGGAAUACAUGCGGAUGGCCUGAAGCAAGUGAAGAAUCACAAAAGAAGUGAAAAUUGCUGGUUCCUGCCUUAACUGAUGACAUUCCACCAUUGUGAUUUGUUCCUGCCCCACCUUAACUGAGCCAUUAAUGUUGUGAAAUUCCUUCUCCUGGCUCAGAACCUCCCUCACUGAGCACCUUGUGACCCCCACCCCUGCCUGCAAGAGAAAAACCCCCUUUGACUGUAAUUUUCCACUACCCGCCCAAAUCCUUUAAAACGGCCCCACCCCUAUCUCCCUUCGCUGACUCUUUUUUCGGACUCAGCCCGCUUGCAC
rnacentral:lncRNA from 1 species